rnacentral:rRNA from 1 species
GACGAAGGUGGCGAGCGUUGUUCGGAAUCACUGGGCAUAAAGCGCACGUAGGCGGUGUCGUAAGUCGGGUGUGAAAUCCCUCGGCCUAACCUAGGAACUGCGCCCGAUACUGCGAUGCUUGAGGACCAGAGGGGUGCAUGGAAUUUCCGGUGGAGCGGUGAAAUGCGUUGAUAUCGGAAGGAACUCCGGCGGCGAAAGCGAUGCACUGGCUGGUUUCUGACGCUGAGGUGCGAAAGCCAGGGGAGCAAACGGG